AGUGAACGCUGGCGGUAGGCCUAACACAUGCAAGUCGAACGGCAGCACAGUAAGAGCUUGCUCUUACGGGUGGCGAGUGGCGGACGGGUGAGGAAUACAUCGGAAUCUACCUUUUCGUGGGGGAUAACGUAGGGAAACUUACGCUAAUACCGCAUACGACCUACGGGUGAAAGCAGGGGAUCUUCGGACCUUGCGCGAUUGAAUGAGCCGAUGUCGGAUUAGCUAGUUGGCGGGGUAAAGGCCCACCAAGGCGACGAUCCGUAGCUGGUCUGAGAGGAUGAUCAGCCACACUGGAACUGAGACACGGUCCAGACUCCUACGGGAGGCAGCAGUGGGGAAUAUUGGACAAUGGGCGCAAGCCUGAUCCAGCCAUACCGCGUGGGUGAAGAAGGCCUUCGGGUUGUAAAGCCCUUUUGUUGGGAAAGAAAAGCAGCAGGUUAAUACCCCGCCGUUCUGACGGUACCCAAAGAAUAAGCACCGGCUAACUUCGUG
rnacentral:rRNA from 1 species